rnacentral:rRNA from 1 species
UACGUAGGAGGCGAGCGUUGUCCGGAAUUACUGGGUGUAAAGCGCGUGUAGGCGGACGGCCAAGUCUGGGGUGAAAUCACCUGGCUCAACUGGGUGGGGUCCUUAGAAACUGGCGGUCUGGAGGACGGUAGAGGCGAGUGGAAUUCCCGGUGUAGUGGUGAAAUGCGUAGAGAUCGGGAGGAACACCAGUGGCGAAGGCGGCUCGCUGGGCCGGCCCUGACGCUGAGACGCGAAGGCGUGGGGAGCGAACGGG